rnacentral:rRNA from 1 species
AGUGAACGCUGGCGGUAGGCCUAACACAUGCAAGUCGAACGGCAGCACAGUAAGAGCUUGCUCUUACGGGUGGCGAGUGGCGGACGGGUGAGGAAUACAUCGGAAUCUACUUUUUCGUGGGGGAUAACGUAGGGAAACUUACGCUAAUACCGCAUACGACCUACGGGUGAAAGCAGGGGAUCUUCGGACCUUGCGCGAUUGAAUGAGCCGAUGUCGGAUUAGCUAGUUGGCGGGGUAAAGGCCCACCAAGGCGACGAUCCGUAGCUGGUCUGAGAGGAUGAUCAGCCCCACUGGAACUGAGACACGGUCCAGACUCCUACGGGAGGCAGCAGUGGGGAAUAUUGGACAAUGGGCGCAAGCCUGAUCCAGCCAUACCGCGUGGGUGAAGAAGGCCUUCGGGCUGUAAAGCCCUUUUGUUGGGAAAGAAAAGCAGCAGGUUAAUACCCCGCUGUUCUGACGGUACCCAAAGAAUAAGCACCGGCUAACUUCGUG